UCCGGUUUAACACCGGCAGUCUCCCUAGAGUGCCCAACUAAAUGAUGGCAACUAAGGAUAGGGGUUGCGCUCGUUAAGGGACUUAACCCGACAUCUCACGAUACGAGCUGACGACAGCCAUGCAGCACCUGAACCGCCGGCCUCCGAAGAGGAAACCUCAUCUCUGAGGCUGUCCGACGUUGUCUAACCCAGGUAAGGUUCUUCGCGUUGCAUCGAAUUAAACCACAUGCUCCACCGCUUGUGCGGGCCCCCGUCAAUUCCUUUGAGUUUUAACCUUGCGGCCGUACUUCCCAGGCGGGGUACUUAAUGCGUUAGCGUCGACACUGCAGGGGUCAAUUCCUGCAACAUCUAGUACCCAUCGUUUACGGCGUGGACUAC
rnacentral:misc_RNA from 1 species